CCUACGGGGCGCACCAGUGGGGAAUAUUGCACAAUGGGCGCAAGCCUGAUGCAGCCAUGCCGCGUGUAUGAAGAAGGCCUUCGGGUCGUAAAGUACUUUCAGCGGGGAGGAAGGUGUUGUGGUUAAUAACCACAGCAAUUGACGUUACCCGCAGAAGAAGCACCGGCUAACUCCGUGCCAGCAGCCGCGGUAAUACGGAGGGUGCAAGCGUUAAUCGGAAUUACUGGGCGUAAAGCGCACGCAGGCGGUCUGUCAAGUCGGAUGUGAAAUCCACGGGCUCAACCUGGGAACUGCAUUCGAAACUGGCAGGCUAGAGUCUUGUAGAGGGGGGUAGAAUUCCAGGUGUAGCGGUGAAAUGCGUAGAGAUAUGGAGGAAUACCGGUGGCGAAGGCGGCCCCCUGGACAAAGACUGACGCUCAGGUGCGAAGGCGUGGGGAGCAAACAGGAUUAGAUACCCUAGUAGUC
rnacentral:rRNA from 1 species